UUCUCCAGGCUUAGAGAGUCAUUGAUCAACAGUCCUGGUAGUUCUCACAAAGUGGAAAGAGCUACAGGCUGGAAAUCUCAGACUUGAAUAAGUCUGGAUCUUUCUGAGCCCCAAACUACUCAUCUUUAAAAUGGGGGUAAAAUCUGGCAGCAUCUUUGACAAUUUCCUUCUCACAAACGAUGAAGAGUUCGCUGAAGAGGUUGGCAAUAAGACCUGGGGCAUAAGAAAGGAUGUAGAGAAGCAAUGGAGAGAAUUGUAUGAAGAAAUGGAAAAAAGAAGACAGGAAGAAGAGGCCAAGAAGAAAAAGGAAAAGGAGAGGGAACGAGAAGAUGACAUCUGGGGACUUCACACAGAGGAAGAUGAAGAGGAUGAAGGGGAUGUUGAGGAGGAACCAGGAGACAACAGGCAGAUGCAAGAAGAUGGUAGUGAAAGAGCAUUUCUGGGUAAAAAUGGAGACGUCCAUGUUGACCAGAAAGAUGAACUGUAACUAGGGGAAAAAUAGUUAUGCUCAGAAGCAAAGGAUGGUGUUAGAAGGAGAAAUGUUCACACGAUUAGCAAUAUUUGGGGAGCAAAAUAACUUGGUCUUUUAAAAUAAAGUUAGAUUUGUAUUUCCACCCCACCUCUUGUUCUAUAUU
rnacentral:lncRNA from 1 species